AAUGAACGCUGGCGGCGUGCUUAACACAUGCAAGUCGAACGAGAGUACAGGAGCUUGCUCCUGGGCUCUAGUGGCAGACGGGUGAGUAACGCGUGGACAAUCUACCUCCAAGCGGGGGAUACCCAGCCGAAAGGCUGGUUAAUACCGCAUAAUACUCGGAGUACCUAGGUACACCAAGUCAAAGCUGGGGAUUCGGGAAACUGGACCUGGCACUGGGAGAGGAGUUCGCGUCAGAUUAGCUAGUUGGUGGGGUAACGGCCUACCAAGGCAACGAUCUGUAGCCGGCCUGAGAGGGUGAUCGGCCACACUGGAACUGAGACACGGUCCAG
rnacentral:rRNA from 1 species